AAAAUUUAAAACAAGGGCUGAAAUUUAACAUGAAGCAACUUCAAACAAAUAUUGACACAUUCCAAAAGGUCUCAUACCAAAAUCAAUCACCAAAAGCAUUUCAUGAUCAAGUGAAGUUCAAGGCAAUUUUAAAGCUCAUAUGUGAUCAACAUGAAUGAAAAAUUCAAAUCAAAACAGAAAUGAUUCAAAUAAAUCUGGAAAAGUUCAUGCACAUUCAAGACAUCUAUCAUGAUCAACAUACAAAAAAU
rnacentral:lncRNA from 1 species